AGGUACCAGGCUCUCCCCCUGGCAUUUUGGCUUCAUGCUAAUCUCAUGUGUGCUAUGUUUACCCAGGUGUACCUCCAUUGACUUCACUGAAGAUGUUUCUGAAAUCUGUUCUUGCCUAAUCUAGGUUCCUACCUGAUGCUCAACACCACAGCAUUGGGGGACCUUCCACAAUGGUAAGGUGGCCCCAUAAGAUGUCUUCCUCUCCCUGAUGUCUCUAGUUAGUACCGUCUGGACCUUUGGUUCAGUGCCUGAAGAAAGCCUGGCUCCCAAGAUCUGAGGCCUGAAUUCUGCAGGAAGCAACCUUUUGUCGCACAGCAUGAAAACCACACACUGUUUCCAGCACUUGAGGGGUGAUGUUCAAUGGCCAGAGCACAUCCGAAAACAUAACAACCCCACUUCGAGAGAAUAACCGAUUCACCACCACAAGUCUGCAGUAUGACCACAUUUUCUCUGCCCAGUUUAGCAAACUAUAUAUUAGAAUAGUUCACCUGAGUAUGGUAAACAUGACAAGAUCUUCAUAGCAAGAUCUUCUGUGUCUCCAAAAGAUCCAAAAGUUUAGCUAGGUCAGCUUGUGGCUUGCAGAGCUCAAAGAUCAAAUGUUUGUGAGUGAAAAGUAAUGGCAGGCUGGAUGACACAACUUUUUAUUGACUCUGAAAAAAGGACAAACAUAAAAUCCACAAAAGCCAUGUGAUCUAACAUUUCUGUUGAAACUAACAGGAAAUGUAAAUGCAAACAAUUAGAGUGGAUGCCCUUAAAAGCUCAACUUUUACCUCCACACCUGCACAGACACCACGCAUUUUUUUAUAGUUGGACUAGUAGCUAUUGGGUAACCUUAUCAACUGUGGAAAGGUGAAUGUUGAGUUACUGACUGUGCAAAGUGACUGCAAAUCGAAAGCCACAGAGCUGCUGCAGCUGCUGCAGUCUAGUAUCAGAUCCUACUUUCUCAUGGCAAAGUUCCACCCCUUGAGCCCCCAGUCCAGUGUCCCAGCCCCUGAACUACAUUG
rnacentral:lncRNA from 1 species